UUUUAUUUGAGAGUUUGAUCCUGGCUCAGGAUGAACGCUGGCGGCGUGCCUAACACAUGCAAGUUGAGCGAUUUACUUCGGUAAAGAGCGGCGGACGGGUGAGUAACGCGUGGGUAACCUACCCUGUACACACGGAUAACAUACCGAAAGGUAUGCUAAUACGGGAUAAUAUAUUUGAGAGGCAUCUCUUGAAUAUCAAAGGUGAGCCAGUACAGGAUGGACCCGCGUCUGAUUAGCUAGUUGGUAAGGUAACGGCUUACCAAGGCGACGAUCAGUAGCCGACCUGAGAGGGUGAUCGGCCACAUUGGAACUGAGACACGGUCCAAACUCCUACGGGAGGCAGCAGUGGGGAAUAUUGCACAAUGGGCGAAAGCCUGAUGCAGCAACGCCGCGUGAGUGAUGAAGGCCUUCGGGUCGUAAAACUCUGUCCUCAAGGAAGAUAAUGACGGUACUUGAGGAGGAAGCCCCGGCUAA
rnacentral:rRNA from 1 species